CUCUGCCUCCCAAGUGCUGGGAUUAAAGGCGUGCGCCACCACUGCCCAGCACACUAGGUUUUUUUUUCUAAGUGGAAAAUUAAUAUUGUUAGGAAUUAUUUGUAAGUUAAGGUCCAUUCAGAGUGCAAUACAAACCAGUGGAUACGUAUGUGCUUGGAAAGGAACCAGGAUUUUAUAAGCAUGCUAGAAAAGUGCUCUGUCACUCAUCAGCCCCAACCCCGACCAAUGGGGUCUUUCUAUUGCUGUGAAAAGACAGCAUGACCAAAGCAGCUUACAGAAGAAAGCAUAUGAUUGGGGGCCUGGUGACUAAGUUUCGGAGAGUUAGCUCAUGGUCAUCAUGGUCAGGAGCAUGGUGGCAGGAAGUUAUGGCCCUGGAGCAGUAGUUAAGGCCUUACAAGUGAUCCACAAGAUGGUGACAGAAAGAGAGACAGAGAUGGACCUGGCAGGAGCUUUUGAAAUCUCAAAGCCCCAGUGACACACCUCCAACAAGGCCACGCCUACUCCAGGAAGGCCACACCUCCUAAUCCUUCCUAAACAGUCCUCCAAACAUUCAAAUAUAUGAGCCUAUGGAGACCAUUCUCAUUCAAAUCAGUCCUCAGAUCCUACAGUAGAAGGAGGGAAUCAACUCCCAAAAGUUGUCCUCUGACCUCUGCCUGAGUGCUAUACAUGUGCCAGUAAAUUUUUUUAAAGCUUUUUAACAAAUUCCAUUGUGUAUAUACGCCAUAUUUUCUUUACCCAUCCAUCGGUUGAUGUUCAAGCUAGCCCCAAUUCCUACUUUGUGAAUCGCAGAGCAAUGAAUGUGGAUGCUGGAGAACAGUAGGACUAGAGUCUCUAGGUCUGUGGCCACUAGUGGUAUAGCUGGGUCAGAUGGUAGUUCUGGUUUUUAGAUGUGUUUGUGGUGGUGGUGGCAGUUUGGGGCUUUGGUUAGCAGCUGUUUGAGAAACCUCCAUGCUGAUUUCCAUAGUGAAUGCAAGAAUGCAUGCCCUCCAGCCACGGACAAGAGUUCCUCUUUCCCGACAUCCUCAGCAUUCUUUGUUGCCACUUGCUUCUUUGAUGUUUAACCAUUCUCACUGGCCUGAUAUGGACGUUCAGAGUAGUUUAAAUUUGAAUUUCCCUGUCAGUGAAUGAUGUUACACACCGUUUUAAAUAUUUAUUGACCGUUUUGUUUCUUUUUUUUUUUUGAAAAUUAUCUGUUUAGUUUAUUCUUGACUAUUGAUAGGAAGAUUUGGGGAUGUUUUUGGUUUUCCUUUAUGUAUACUAUCCAUAAACCCCUUGCCUGAAGUACAGCUAGCAAACAUUUCCUCCCGGUCUGUAGGCUUUCUCUCUUUACUCUGCCAAUCAGUUCCUUUGCAUACAGGAGCCUUUUGAUUUCGUGUAAUCCCAUUGGUCAAAUUUUUGAUUUACGUACUACACUGCUAGAGUUAUUAGCAGAAAGGUUUUGCCUAUGUCUAUACCUUGAAGAGUUUCUGCAUGGUUUCUCCUUGCACUUGCGGUGUUCUGGCCUCUAUGUUAAAGUCCUUGAUCCAUUCUGAGUUGAUUCUUUUACAACUUUUAUUUAAUCUAUUCAUUUUAUUUUUUAUGUGAACAUUUUGCCUGGAUGGAUGGAUGGAUGUCCACCAUGUGCAUAUUUGGUACCCACAGAGGUCAGAAGAGGGCAUCGGAUACCCUCAAAUAUGGAUGGCUGUGAACCACAUUAUGGGGGUGCUGGAAAUCGGACCCUGGUCCUCUGCAAGGAUGGAUACUCAACUUUCCCAGCAUCAUGAAUUUAAGAGGCUGUCUUAUUUUCCAGGCAAAUCACAACAUAUUAAGUGCAAAAGAAAAUAUGAGAAUACAGAUAUUUUCCAUGAAGCCAAACAAUAAAGAAGAUGUUUGCAGAAAAACAUGUCAAGAAAGCCGUUUUUGUCUGUAGUUUUUUUGUUGUUAUUGUUGUUUAGAAAAGUAGUGACUUUUUAAAUUUGUUAUUGAUGUUGAUAACAUCAGCUUGUCUUAGUUACUUUUCUACUGCUAUGAAGAGACAAUAUGUCCAGGACAAUUUAUGAGAGACAGCAUUUAACUAGGGAUGUGCCUGCAAUUCCAGAGUGUGACUGUAAAGCAUCAUGGGAGGGGAGCAACAGGUGGGCAGACCUGGUACUGGAGCAGCAGCAGCUGAGUGCUGGCAUACCUUUUGGGCCAUUUUGGGGGGUUGUAUUAUCUACCAUUCUUCCAACCCUUACUCCACCCCAAUACCUUCCAACCCCCAACACUAGGUAAAACAGAAAGAAAGUUAGAGAGGAAAGGGGGCUUAGACCUCUUUAGACUACUUCCUGCUGCUUGCUGAUGUAGCUGAUGUAGGGUUCCUUGAGGCAACUCCAGUCUCUGUUGUCAGGAUAUCUCCAACCAGCAAUCCAGCAGAAGAGCAAACAGGCAAUGCAGCAAUAGCAAAAGCAGCAGCAGGGGAAGCAGCAGCUGCCCCAGGUCCUCUCAGGGAUCUUGCAUUUAUACCCUCUCAAGAAUCCCCAGAAUUUCAAACAUAAACUAUCCUCAGUUGGCAAAAAUUGCAUCCCUCCUAGAGCAUGAGACAAUCAUGGUUAGCAGCUGUGGACAGUCUGAAGCAGCUCCAUAUUCCACACCUGGGAUUAAAACAAAAACAUAUUCACAUAACAUAAGUGGGUUUUUGAAGAAACCAAAAUUCUCACUACAGCUGAGGAUGUACAUCUGUCCCACAAGCGUGAGGCAGAGAGAGAGCUGGGAUUGUGUGAGCAUUUGAAACCUCAGAUCCCACUCACAGAGACACUCCUCCAGC